GGUGGCUCAGUGAUAGAGCACUUGCCUUGCAUGCAUGAGGCCCUGGGUACAAUUCCUCAGCACCA
rnacentral:tRNA from 1 species